rnacentral:lncRNA from 12 species
GCAGUACCUGAGGCAUAAAAAUCACCAGUUAAGCUAGAGAUGUAGUAGUUAAUGACACCAAAUACAUUUAUUUACCCUAUGGUUUUAUUUAACACAGGCAGAGAGGAGGAACCAGGGCAGCAUCUGGAGGAGACCAAACAUCACCAUCUCAAUGUUAAAAUAUCCAGAGCAAAGUGAAACCCGACACAAAGCUUAGACUGUCUGCCAUAUGUGAUCUACUAGCCGUCUCAUGCUUGUAUGACAUCUCUAUGAAGAUUGUAAAUUCCCCGAGGAUACUAUUCCCUUAGGUAAUUUAUUCCAAUAUAUUUGCAAGUUUGAUCUCAGCUGUCACUCAAAAGGACCAAGAAGAUUUCCAAAAUUAAAAAUUAGAACCCAAUUAAUCUUUAGCAUAACGUCAACAUGUUUCAUAUUUCCUUCAGUGAGCCAAGAAAUUUUGGAAGGUGACAUCAUGUCUGCAAAAAUGUCACACCCGGCAGGAAAGAUUCUUUGACUAAUUAGAGUAGCCCUUCGAGGUGAUACUGUGCAGAAGUGUUGAAAAUGUGCAGUUGUCCAAAAAGGGAUAGAUCCAUUCACUCUUCUUCCACGUUAUACAGUAUCUGAAAUCCAUGCUCAGGAACCCACGAUCUCGUGAAAACAUUCUGUUGUGGAGCACAGAGGCCACAUAGAUUAUAUGGUUAUCUUCCUGCUUCCCAGUAUGUGCCUGAGAACAGAGUGAGAAGAGAGAUUAGUAACUACAGAUCUAGGGCAAUGGAAGUUAAAUGUAGCAAACCGCAAGAGACUCCUAACUCUAGGGAACAAACUGAGGGCUGUUGCAGGGGAGGUGGGCGAGGGACGGGGUGAUGGACAAGAAGGAAGGCAAGUGAUGGGAUGAGCAGUGGGUGUUAUAUGCAACUGAUGAAUCACUAAAUUCUACCCCUGAAACUAAUAAUAUACUCUGUUAACUAAAUUUGAAUUUAAAUAAUUUUAAAAAAUUUAAAAAAAAAGAAAGUUAAAUGUAGCAAACAGUUAUUCUCAUUGUGGGGAAGACCGAUGAAUUUUUGGCCCAUUGAGAACUGAACACGAACCCUCAUUUCCUUUCAGGCUACUUGCUCUGGGGAGGAGACUAAAGAGAGAAUCAUCACUCAGAAGUAGUUAAAAAGGCAAGCUCCUUGAAUCAUAAUAAAAUAUCAUUGUAUAUUAUGGUUUAUUAAAAC